rnacentral:lncRNA from 1 species
GACUAGUAGUGAAUCUCUCCACUAGCCACAACCCACUGGAAGAAAAACCUUCUCUGGAAAAUUGAGAGCAGCCCAGAGCUACAGGCAAAAGCAUAGACUACUUAGAACUCAGUUUGACAGCAUGUCCAUUUAGUAGAAAUAAUGCUAGUCUCUCCAGCUAGGAUCUAUAAUUUCCACAGUCAUAGGGGCUUGACUACCUUUAUAUAACAGACACAAGAUCCCUCCUGUAGAGUGGACACAAUCAGAAAGCACUUAGUUAGCCUUCACAAACACAGCAUGCCACUGCCACACCAGUGGGCACAACACUGGGCACAGCAGUGGGCCAGUAUUGUAGCGUACAGCAUUCGGCACUGGAUAAGGCCGCUGAUGUCUUUUCUCUGAGCAGCCUUCAUAGUACCCGUUAGCACUGGGUAAGUUUCCUGAUCAGUGUAGGUCGGUUUCUAUAUUUCCUGUAGCCAAAGUUAGUGCUGUCUUGAGCAAUAGGGUCUUACCAUCUAGUUAUGGCAGACAAAACAGUGGCUAUUACCUGUAUUGUUUUGGAUGCCAUAACUCAUGGGAAGGUAGCUUAUGCGUGACUACUUAGACCUUUAUUUUGCAACCCAUGCCUUCUGAGUACAGCAUUGUCUACCUACGCAGGGUACUUCUAGUCAAAAUUCCUUUUAUAUGUGUGUGUGUGUGUGUGUGUGUAGAUAGAACCAGAGGGAUGUGUAGAUAGUACCUAGUACCAUCAAGGUCUUAGGCAGGUUUAGUGUCAUAACUGCUGCUGGUAACAUUACCAACAACAUAGUGGAGUGCUCUCCAAAGGUGAGCUAUGGUUUCUUUGCUUUUGCUUUUGGGGACUCAUUGCUGUACUGUUUCUCUUUCCUCUUUUAGGCAUUUAAGCACUUCAGAGUUCAAUAUGAAAUGAAAAGGAAACAAGUGGAGCAUAUAAUACAGCCAUUGCAAAGAGAUGGCAAACUGACGCUCGACCAAGCCUUGGUCAAGCAGUGCUGGGAGAGAGUAUCAUCCCGGCUCUUCGAUUGGCAUAUACAGCUGGAUAAAUCUCUCCCUGCACCUCUGGGCACUAUAGGUGCUUGGCUAUACAGGGCAGAAGUGGCCCUGAGAGAAGAGAUCACCAUUCAGCAGGUUCACGAGGAGACAGCAAACACAAUCCAACGGAAACUUGAGCAACAUAAGGUAAAACCAUGCUCAGAGACUGUCUGAAUUGCCUUUCUAUUAUCCUGGCAAAGCAUCAUGAAUAAGGUGAAUUAUAAAAGAAAGCAUUUAAUUUGGUGCUCAUUUUCCCAGAUGGUUAGCAUCCAUGCAAAGGGGAUUAUGGCAACAGGAGACAGGAAUGGUGCUGAAGCAGUAGCUGAGAACUUCCUUCUGAUCCACAGCAGGAAGGAGUGAGGGAGAACUAAUGGAAAGGGAUGAGCUUUUGCAAUUUCAAUGUCCAACCAAUGUCACACCUCCCCCAAUGAGGUCAUAAUCCUAAUUCUUCCCAAACAGUUCCACUAACUAGGGACAAAGUACUCAAAUACACGAACCUCUAGGGACCAUCUUCAUUCAAACCACCACAGAAACUUUUCCACCAUGACAGUCCUGGAGUCUCUGGAGAUGUAUCCUCACCAGAACCUGCACCAACGUGCUCCUCAAAGCAUCCAUCCUAUGUGGUUCACACACUUCCUUCUUGGAGGUACUCUAAUCUGCAUCUUCCUAGCCUAAACCCAUCCUGACAAUUUCAGUACAUUAAUUUCAUAAGAUAUUUCCCAAUAAUUCUAGGGCAGAUUUUUGUAUCUGCAUCCAUCUUUAUUCCUGAUGCUAAUCGGUUCUGUUUUUAUAUAAAAAAAUAAGCUUACAGACUGUAUGAAUUCAUAUAAUUCAUGUGACCAUUGGUUCCAUACUUCACAUGCAUAGUCUUUCUCAAAGAAUGAUAAACAAAAGCUUCCAGUCCUGGUGCUUUGGUUGUACAUGGGGAGUAGAGGCCUGAGAUACCGUUAAGGACUUCAGUGACCUACAAGUCAUGUGUGUGGUUAAUGUGUGACUGUUGUCAAACAUUUUGUAAUGAUACAGGCUUAACUCAUUAAACAUGCUAUUUUUCGAUUGACAAACAUUAAGGCAAUGGUGUACUCUUUACCCCCUUUGUUCUGUUAGUGCUUUGGCUUUAGCAUAUAAAUGAUAACAAGCUAAUACAUAGAGAUUUCUAUAUGUUGUCAAGAUAUAUAUUUUCUGCCAAAUGCUUGAUGUGUUUUUAGUUACCUGAAGAUAAUACUUUUAUCUGUUU